UUUUUUGUUGCUCUUUCCUCUGCCUGGAACCUCAUCUCCCUCCGUAUUUGCAAGACUUGCUUUCUUAGUUCACUUGAUUCAGAUCUCUGAUCAUAGAAAACCUUCCAGGAGAUGUUUUCCCUGUUGCCAUUUCUAGAGAAGCACCUUAUCGUCUCGAUUACCUUAGCUCACAUUUUCUUCAUAGCAGUUACCACAGCAGGUGUCCAAUAAAUGUUAAGUUUAUGAAUCUCAUCUUCAUCACAACCCUAUGAGAUGGAUAUUGACAUGAUGCCUAUCUUCAAGGUUGAGAAAGAAUUAAAAAGUGGAAAGAGGAAACACUGAAAACAGGAAAAUAUGUGUGAUAUCUAUAGAACAGCAGAUACGUAACUCACAGAGCAGCUGAAGAAUUAAAUCAGAGGUAUGUUUUGGCAUUCUUUGCAGGCUCUACUCACUUCCUUUAGAUUCCUUUUCUUUUUUAUCAUGCAAGUCUUGGAUCUGGUACCCCUUUUCUGUCCCUAUGCCUGAGACUUAUAGGAUGUCACUGGCAAGGAUCUUCCUAGUAACAGCAGGAAAUCAGAAGAACUCUCAAAGGAACCAAAGAAUGGGGAAUCCAGGGUGGAGCUAAUUCUGCUGUCCUCCAGUAGCCCUGGACCUGAUCUGAACAGGCAUGGAAGAUAAACCAAGGACAUCCAAGGUAUCAUACUAGGAAUUACAGAAAAAUAAAUUGAAGUAAAAGAAGACAACACAAGUAUAUAAAGAAAUAAUUUAUUAAGACUUUCCUGAAAUAAGACUAUUUCAACUAUAUAUUUAAGAGGGAUAUCAAAUGCAAGACUCCAAGGAAAUUGUUCCUAUCUGUUCCUCAGGAAUCUAACAUUGAGCAAGAUUUACCCAAUCGAGAAAUGACUGGAGAAGCCACAUCAAAGAAAUUUGUGUGAUCACUGAAUCUGUUCAACCAUAGAAUAAAGACUGAAAUAAAUGUUAAGGUUAUGAGAUCAGUUAGAAAUGUAAAUAAUACAAUCUGCAGCAAUUCAAAAAUUAGCCAUAGUUGGAAAUGUAAAUAUUCUGAUGUCUUUUGUAACAAAUCAAAGAGUAAAGAUGGCUGAGUAUAUUUAAUAACACAAAGAGAAAUAUAACUAGCACAGAGAAACUUCCAACCCAUAUACCACCAUUGGACUCACAGGGAGUCUAUAAAUUAUAUUUAAAGCUGUGAAAAAAAGAAGACAUCUGAAAUAGUAUAACAGAAAAAAAAUAGUUAUAUCAACAAAUUCAAUAAGACUAAACUCAAAUUUGGAUGACAAAGCAAAAUUCUAUGCUAAAACAAAAGAAAAAAGUCAUGCUGGGUGAAUGCUAAGAAAAGGAAAGCAGAUUAUCCCACACAAUAUGGAACAAGUAGAGAAAGAUGUCUAAGGACUUCUUUCUUUUCCAGCUCUCCUAUAAGCAUUGUACUCAGAUCAUUCUCAGCAGAGAUUUAUAACAAAUUGUAUAAUAACAGAAUAAAUUAAAUUAUUCUAAUAUGUUAAAAAAGAAGGGAAGACCUUAACAUCAUCACAUAUAUAUGCAGAUUUGUUUAUUUUUGCAAAAUAUAUUUAUUUAAUGCUACCCAGAAAACAAUAACAUGAAGGAGAACUGCAUAGCAGGAGGAGCAGGGUGUUGGAGCUGGGGGGAACUCUUCGUUGCAU